UUAGGGAAGAGUGCCAGAUAACCAGACAGUCCUGUUCCCAGUGGGAAGUCAAUGGAAAAUAUCCACAACCGAAAAUCAAGAAAAAGGACAGGUCUCGGUUUUCUGAUCUGUAACUUGGGACUGAUACCACGGACGGGAUGGCUGGGAAAACGGAGUGCGAUGGUGCAUGUGGAAAACCUCGCUCUUACAAGGUCUGGAAACCAUGACUAACCCCCAAAUAAUGAGCAUCCCGACACCCAGACUGUGUUCUCUAAAUUGGAUUUCGAACUAAAAGGAACCAUGUCUUCUUGGAUAAAUGCGGAUUUCAAGGCUGGGACGGGAAAUAUCAAAGGGCAGCCUGGGACAUUCUGUGGGUCAGGCAGGCAAACAAGCUGUCAGAGACUGCAGGGCAUGUGUCAAAAAGAUCUAAGAACCCACUUGAAUGAGUCCCACUGGCCAAAGAGGAGAGAAUGUGAACAUUAUAGCAAUGAUGAUACAAUACCAUGUCAAAUAUAUUAAAAUCUGUGAGUUCAAAAU